rnacentral:rRNA from 1 species
CCUACGGGAGGCAGCAGUGAGGAAUAUUGGUCAAUGGACGAGAGUCUGAACCAGCCAGGUAGCGUGAAGGAUGACUGCCCUAUGGGUUGUAAACUUCUUUUAUAUGGGAAUAAAACAGGGUAUGCAUACCAUCUUGUAUGUACCAUAUGAAUAAGGAUCGACUAACUCCGUGCCAGCAGCCGCGGUAAUACGGAGGAUCCGAGCGUUAUCCGGAUUUAUUGGGUUUAAAGGGAGCGUAGGUGGCUUUUUAAGUCAGUUGUGAAAGUUUGCGGCUCAACCGUAAAAUUGCAGUUGAAACUGGCAGUCUUGAGUACAGUAGAGGUGGGCGGAAUUCGUGGUGUAGCGGUGAAAUGCUUAGAUAUCACGAAGAACUCCGAUUGCGAAGGCAGCUCACUGGACUGCAACUGACACUGAUGCUCGAAAGCGUGGGGAUCAAACAGGAUUAGAUACCCUGGUAGUC